rnacentral:misc_RNA from 1 species
UUACACUCUUCUCUGUUUCUUAUCCAAUCUUAAUAUUUUAUUGGAGGAAAUCCAACCUGUUCAGUUUCCUAUCAUCAACAGCCGUGUAAAGAGCAGGGGAAAAUCAUGAAAAUGAUAAUACAACCAAAACUAAUCACUUAUGUUUUGCUUUAAACUAAUCAAUGGUGGAUUUGGGCCAACACUGAGACUAGCAUUUCAACGGUGAACCUUUGCUCAGGGAUCCUCAGAGCUUCCAUUCUUGUCCAAGUGUGGGAAGGGCAGGCAGGCGUAGAAGUGACAAAACCAGAGUAGUUAGACCUGUAAGGCGAACCAUUUUUGCCCAUGUUGAAUCUUGGGGUGCUUUCUUCCUGCAUACCGAUCAUGUGAGAACGCACAGCAUGGUGAUUCCUUUCCGUGAAGAAAUGUAAGAAAUAGCAGUACCUUUCCGUGAAACCAAUGGCUUUAGUUAUCCUGAACCAGAAAUAAUAAAGAGAGGAAAACUAACAAUUGAAAAGCUACUCUCAAGACAACAGAAUCAAAACACAAACAUGAUGGUGAUACAAUACAACACGUUGGCCAUGCAGAAAUUCGCCACAAAAACAUGGCCAAGGGCGUCAGAUAUAGUUUAAAAAAUUAGUCCUUGCGAUCCACCAACGUUUGUGCUCCACUGUCGAAACUAAAGCAAUACAAUGGACAGCGUAAACCCAUGAAGAGAAUUCUUGGCCUUUCUUUUCCAAUUUAGAGCCAUCACCCUCUUCUAUGUUUUAAUAACAGUAUCACGUGAAUCCACCAAUAUUCUUCAUUUUCACUGAAACUUUUUUCUUUUCGUAACAAAAGAAGCAAAGGAUCAACAACCAAAUCCAAUAAACAAAUAGCAAUCAAAUGGAAGCAUUACAAGCUUCCUAACAAUCUAUAUAUUUUAAGAAAACGGUCGUUCUUCAACAGUAAGUAAAACAAAGGACUAUAUAACAUCAGAAUCAUCAAGGCUCCAUUCAAAAAUGAGCAAAAAUGUUUACAUCUAAAAACAUAAUUAUCUACUAUCCUUGAAACUUACCCUGUUUUGGGGAAGAGAAGGAUCAGCCAGAAUUAAUCAAUUUUCACUGAUGAAUAGAUAAGCCUUGUGAACCAAAAGCAAGCAUAAAACCCAAUGGUGCCAGUUAACACAAAAAAUGCAUACGAUGCAAUUAGCAUGUAUCCGAAGUAUAACACCCCAGAAACGAACUUCGUUAUUUCGAGCUUUGUGAAGAAGUAGAAUGUUGCAUAAAGGAAGAGAUAUAACGCUGAGGAGCCAGAUGUAAGGUAUGACCUCCACCACCACAGGUAAUCCUCACUGCACAACUGGAAGUAGCAAAGCACUACAGUUAUUUCAGCACAAGUGACAAUGAGGAUAAUGAAUACUAGGAAGAGGAAGCCAAAGAUAUAGUAAAACUGAUUCAGCCAGAUUGAGGUGAGGAUGAAGAAGAGCUCAAUGAAAACAGCUCCAAAAGGAAGUAUUCCUCCGAUUAGAAUUGAGAAGGCUGGGUUCAUGUACCAAGCCUGCUCUGGAAUCUGUCUUGGAAUUUUAUUUGUCUUCACAGGAUCCUCAAUUGCUGGCUUUCUUAACCCAAUAUAACUUCCAACAAACACAAGCGGAACUGAAAUCCCAAACCAUAAAAAUACCAAAGCAAACAUGGUCCCAAAUGGCACAGCCCCAGAUGAUUUCUGGCCCCAGAUGAGAGCAUUUAAGACAAAGAAAAUGGCAGAGACGAUUCCAGGAAACAUAAAAGCAGUCCUAAAAGCAGUUUUCUUCCAUUCUGUUCCUUUAAACAUUUUGUACAAACGAGCAGAGGCAUAACCAGCAAAAAGGCCCAUGAAAACCCAAAGUAAGAGCAUGGCAGUCAUAAGGCCACCUCGGUUUGAUGGAGAAAGGAACCCUAGAAUUGCAAAAAUCAUGGUAACAAGGGUCAUUCCAAAAAAUUGAACACCUGUUCCAACAUAGACACAGAGUAAAUCGGAAUUGGAUGGUGGCCUGAAAACAUCUCCAUGGACAAGCUUCCAUCCAGUUUCUUCCUGGGCUUCUUCCUGGGUCUCAAGUUCAUUGUACUUGGAUAUGUCACGGUAAAGUGUGCGUAGCAUGAUCAUUGCCACCAUGCCCGAAAGAAACAAGACAAUCAUCAGUGAAUUGACAAUUGAGAACCAAUGAAUUUGGUCAUCACUCAUUAAAAGAUAGGUAUCCCAUCUAGAUGCCCACUUCACAUCGCUCUCCUGGAAUUCAACAUCAUAUGUGAAAAUAACUUCUUUUUUCUCUUCAACUUCUUGAGGAGUGUUGGAAUUAACAUUUCCAUGGGGGUCACAGGUUGUUAACCGAGUUUUCUCAUCAUUCCAUUUUCCUUCAUAUUUGUGCUUAACACUCAAAGGUUUAACUUCAAAUCCAACAAUUCUUGCAGAGUCAGUUUGCAAAUCUCUAUGAAACUUGACUUUGAAUGCCAAAUGAUUGUGGAUAAAAUACCUUUCCUCCUUGCUCCCACUAUAUUGGCCUUUGAGACCAACAUGAAAGCCAAGCUGAUACACAGUAGGAGAUUCCUGAUCCAACCUUUGUCUUGGAACCACAAGAGGAAGGUUAUCAAGGAUCAUGUUGACGCGAUACUCAUCAUCAAUCUUCUCUUUGAACUCCUUCACAAUUUUGGCAUCAAGUUUAAGACGGCAAACAGUAUGGCACAUCUUUCGCUCCAGCAUUUUAAACACAUAAGGGGAAUUUUCUAUACGGUCACCACGAAGCACUUCCCCAAGAUUCUCUGCACUGUCCAAAAUCUUGGAUGGGCGACAAUAAGGAAGAGAAUAGUAUGAGUAAGGAAGCUGAGUUUUUGUAGAGGUCAAUUUGUUCACUUUCACUUUCAACUCAUCUCCCUUGACGAAAUCCUCAGGAGCGACGCCAGGAAGGUAGAAGCAGCGAGCGCCAUGGAUCAGAAGCGCAAGUAUCGCGCAUAUCGUCGUCAUUAAUGGAGGUAAAGAUCUUCGUCCUCGAGGCUCCAUGGCGUUUUCUGCGAAAUGGAAAGUGAGAGAAGGAAAAAAAAUGUAGAACGAGGCUAGAUCUAGAGUGGUGAUUUUGUCCGUUGCGCGAUUGAGGGAGAGCGAGACCUGAGUUAUAAAUUAAUAAGAGGCGGGUAAACAGGUUAGAGUUAAAAAUGAAGCUUGGGACUUGGGACGAUAAGCACUAGUCUCCCUCCCGGUUAUGGAGACGUCAGGCGAAAAUGGCUUCGGCUGCCGCGCAACAUCCUUCCUCGUCCAGCUCUUCGGUUUUGAACCCGUAGCCCAUCUCAGCUAUGAUUCUCUAAUGGGUCGGGUCUUCACAUGUGGGCUGAGAUAGUUUCUGUUAGUCUCUCUUGAUUGGAUUUCAAAGCCCUAAAUUAUGUAAUCUUUC